AUUGAACGCUGGCGGCAGGCCUAACACAUGCAAGUCGAACGAGUGGCGGACGGGUGAGUAAUGUCUGGGAAACUGCCCGAUGGAGGGGGAUAACUACUGGAAACGGUAGCUAAUACCGCAUACCAUCGGAUGUGCCCAGAUGGGAUUAGCUAGAAGGUGGGGUAACGGCUCACCUAGGCGACGAUCCCUCGCUGGUCUGAGAGGAUGACCAUCCACACUGGAACUUAUACACGUUCCAGAUGCCUACGGGAGGCAGCAGUGGGAAAUAUUGCACAAUGGGCGAAAGCCUGAUGCAGCCAUGCCGCGUGUAUGAAGAAGGCCUUCGGGUUGGAAAGUACUUUCAGCGAGGAGGCGUUACCCGCAGAAGAAGCACCGGCUAACGCCGUGCCAGCCGCCGCGGUAAUAC
rnacentral:rRNA from 1 species